rnacentral:rRNA from 1 species
AGAGUUUAUCCUGGCUCAGAGCGAACGCUGGCGGCAGGCCUAACACAUGCAAGUCGAACGAACUCUUCGGAGUUAGUGGCGGACGGGUGAGUAACACGUGGGAACGUGCCUUUAGGUUCGGAAUAACUCAGGGAAACUUGUGCUAAUACCGAAUGUGCCCUUCGGGGGAAAGAUUUAUCGCCUUUAGAGCGGCCCGCGUCUGAUUAGCUAGUUGGUGAGGUAAAGGCUCACCAAGGCGACGAUCAGUAGCUGGUCUGAGAGGAUGAUCAGCCACAUUGGGACUGAGACACGGCCCAAACUCCUACGGGAGGCAGCAGUGGGGAAUCUUGCGCAAUGGGCGAAAGCCUGACGCAGCCAUGCCGCGUGAAUGAUGAAGGUCUUAGGAUUGUAAAAUUCUUUCACCGGGGACGAUAAUGACGGUACCCGGAGAAGAAGCCCCGGCUAACUUCGUGCCAGCAGCCGCGGUAAUACGAAGGGGGCUAGCGUUGCUCGGAAUUACUGGGCGUAAAGGGAGCGUAGGCGGACAUUUAAGUCAGGGGUGAAAUCCCGGGGCUCAACCUCGGAAUUGCCUUUGAUACUGGGUGUCUUGAGUAUGAGAGAGGUGUGUGGAACUCCGAGUGUAGAGGUGAAAUUCGUAGAUAUUCGGAAGAACACCAGUGGCGAAGGCGACACACUGGCUCAUUACUGACGCUGAGGCUCGAAAGCGUGGGGAGCAAACAGGAUUAGAUACCCUGGUAGUCCACGCCGUAAACGAUGAUUGCUAGUUGUCGGGAUGCAUGCAUUUCGGUGACGCAGCUAACGCAUUAAGCAAUCCGCCUGGGGAGUACGGUCGCAAGAU